GUGCACCCCUGCUGCAUGAGGCUCAGCCCCAGGGGUCCAACAGAGGUCACAGUCACAGCACAGAAUGGAAGGCUUGCAGGGAGGGCUGCCCUGGAGGGCAGAGUGAAAGCAGGGGAAAGCUGCAGCCUUUCUUCUUCGUCCUCCUUGGGGAGCUAAUUACAGGCCAGCAGCCACUGUGCAGGUGAGCUGUGGACAGCAGCAGCCCAAGGACGCUAUCAGGGAUGCUCUGGAGGAGCCAAAGGCAGAAAUGUGAACCUUACGCUGAGGCCACGGAGAGUGAGGGCUCUCAGAGGAACCCCUGCUCGCCACCAUCCCGGGGAGGGGCCUUUCUCUCUCCCAGAAUGAAUCCCUUGUAACCUCCUGGGAUCUUUCUUUUCAUCACAAGAACCAAAUAAAGAAACUUGAAGAUCUUCUA
rnacentral:lncRNA from 1 species